rnacentral:rRNA from 1 species
UACCAAGGCGAUGACGGGUAGCUGGCAUUAGCGUGUGGUCAGCCACACCGGGACUGAGACACUGCCCGGACUCCUGCGGGAGGCUGCAGUCGAGAAUCUUUCCCAAUGCCCAAAAGGGUGAGGAUGCGACGCCGCGUGGAGGAUGAAGGUUUUCGGAUUGUAAACUCCUUUUGUUAAGGAAGAAAUCCCUGUGAUGAAUAGUCAUAGGUGCUGACGUUACUUAACGAAUAAGCCACGGCUAAAUCCGUGCCAGCAGCCGCGGUAAUACGGAUGUGGCGAGCGUUACUCGGUAUUACUGGGUGUAAAGGGUCCGCAGGCGGCCAAUUAAGUAAGAGGUGAAAUCUUUCGGCUUAACUGAAAAACUGCCUCUUAUACUGUUUGGCUAGAGGGUAAGAGAGGAAAGCGGAACUGCCGGUUAAGGGUGAAAUCUGUGGAUAUCGGCAGGAACGCCAGUGACGAAGGUGGCUUUCUGGUUUAUACCUGACGCUCAGGGACGAAAGCUAGGGGAGAGAACAGGAUUAGAUACCCUGGUAUUCCUAGCCGUAAACGAUGGGUACUAGGUGUUUCGACCUUAGGUCGGAGCGCCGUAGCUAACGCGUUAAGUACCCCACCUGGGGACUACGGCCGCAAGGCUAAAACUCAAAGGAAUUGACGGGGGCCCGCACAAGCGGUGGAACAUGUGGUUUAAUUCGAUGCUACGCGAGGAACCUUACCAGGGUUUGACAUGCUAGAAGUACUCCGGUGGAAACACUGGGAGACCGUAUCCAAUCGGCGUCUAGUGCAGGUGCUGCAUGGUUGUCGUCAGCUCGUGCCGUGAGGUGUCGCCUUAAGUGGUUUAACGAGCGCAACCCUCGCCUUUAGUUGCCACCCUAAUGAUUCAUUAGGCGCACUCUAGAGGGACUGCCCACGUUAAGUGGGAGGAAGGCGGGGACGACGUCAAAUCAGCAUGGUCCUUAUGUCCUGGGCUACACACGUGUUACAAUGGCGUGUACAGUGGGAGGCUAAGCCGUAAGGUGGAGCAAAUCCCGUAAAGCACGCCUCAGUUCGGAUUGAGGGCUGAAACCUGCCCUCAUGAAGCUGGAAUCGCUAGUAACGGCGUAUCAGCAACGACGCCGUGAAUACGUUCCCGGGCCUUGUACACACCGCCCGUCAAGCGCCGAAAGUGGGGGGCACUCGAAGCUCCGUUUGUUCGGAGUCACAGUGAAUUUCAUGAUUGGUGCUAAGUCGUAACAAGGUA